UACGGAGGGAGCUAGCGUUGUUCGGAAUUACUGGGCGUAAAGCGCGCGUAGGCGGCUUUGUAAGUUAGAGGUGAAAGCCCGGGGCUCAACUCCGGAACUGCCUUUAAGACUGCAUCGCUUGAAUCCGGGAGAGGUGAGUGGAAUUCCGAGUGUAGAGGUGAAAUUCGUAGAUAUUCGGAAGAACACCAGUGGCGAAGGCGGCUCACUGGACCGGUAUUGACGCUGAGGUGCGAAGGCGUGGGGAGCAAACAGG
rnacentral:rRNA from 1 species